CCCAACCUUGGGUUGAAAAGCCAAAGGUGGGCCUGUGAACUCACUGGUGUGCAGCCAUGGACAGGCUUACUUCCUCAUUCCUGCUGCUGCUUGUCCCUGCAUAUGUCUUGUCCCAGGUUACUCUGAAAGAGUCUGGUCCUGGGAUGUUACAGCCCUCCAAGACCCUAAGCCUGACUUGCUCUUUCUCUGGGUUUUCACUGAGCACUUCUGGUAUGGUUGUGAGCUGGAUUCGUCAGCCUUCAGGGAAGAGUCUCGAGUGGCUGGCAGCCAUUGAUUGGGAUGGUGAUAAGUACUACAACCCAUCUCUGAAAAGCAGGCUCACAGUCUCCAAGGACACCUCCAACACCCAAGUAUUCCUCAAGAUCACCAGUGUGGACACUGCAGAUACUGCCACAUACUACUGUGCUCGGAGACCACACUGACACAGCCUCAGGUUUCAGCGGUACAGUAUUUCAGACUAGUUCUCAGCUCAGUUUCUUCCUAUUAUAUCAUAAAAGUGUAUGUCCAC
rnacentral:lncRNA from 1 species